rnacentral:rRNA from 1 species
UACGUAGGCAGCGAGCGUUGUUCGGAAUUACUGGGCGUAAAGAGUGUGUAGGCGGUGCUCCCAGUCUGUUGUGAAAUCUCCCGGCUUAACUGGGAGGGUGCAGCGGAAACUAGAGUGCUAGAGGGUGGGAGAGGUAAGCGGAAUUCCUGGUGUAGCGGUGAAAUGCGUAGAUAUCAGGAGGAACACCUAUGGUGUAGACAGCUUACUGGACCACUUCUGACGCUGAGACACGAAAGCGUGGGUAGCAAACAGG